rnacentral:rRNA from 1 species
AUUGAACGCUGGCGGCAGGCUUAACACAUGCAAGUCGAGCGAGAGGCGGACGGGUGAGUAAUGUAUGGGAAUCUGGCUGAUGGAGGGGGAUAACUACUGGAAACGGUAGCUAAUACCGCAUACCAUCAGAUGUGCCAAGGUGGGAUUAGCUAGUAGGUGGGGUAAUGGCUCACCUAGGCGACGAUCCCUAGCUGGUUUGAGAGGAGGACCAGCCACACGGGAACUGAGACACGGUCCAGACUCCUACGGGAGGCAGCAGUGGGGAAUAUUGCACAAUGGGCGCAAGCCUGAUGCAGCCAUGCCGCGUGUGUGAAGAAGGCCUUCGGGUUGUAAAGCACUUUCAGCGGGGAGGCGUUACUCGCAGAAGAAGCACCGGCUAACUCCGUGCCAGCAGCCGCGGUAAUUC